GGAAGGGUGCGAGAGUGGCCGAUCCGGGCGGUUUGCUAAACCGUAGUAGGACCAAAAGUCCUACCGAGGGUUCGAAUCCCUCCCCUUCCGCCA
rnacentral:tRNA from 1 species